AGAUCCGGGAGUGAUGCGCAUGCGUGUAUCUGGCAGAUUGGGCGUGCGAGUAAAAUUUUUCCCGGUUGCAUCUAGCUGCUUUCUGCGACUGCUUACACAGCCAACAACUACAUUUCUGUAGCCAGAAGCGGGAAAAGUUACAGGUGGUGGUAGCAGGGCGCACAGUGGAAGUCUUGCAGCAGGGACGGUCACAAGGGAGCCAAAGGACAGGGAGGAUGGCGCAACGAACGGAGACAGCAUCUUCACUGCCGGGACCAGAGAGAAAAUUGCUGGCCACCAUACAUCGCGGGUCGACAGUCAAAGAGCAACAGAAGAUCCUGAAACCGAGUUGUUGCAUCGUGCUUCUAAAAACUGAAAAAAUAAGAAUUUGUAAUGUUUCUACAACAAUGAUGUCAUAGAAAGUUUAAUCAUGUUGUAAAUGUUCAGUCCUAUCUUGUCAAGGCUCAUGUUCACAACUAUAUGUAGUAUAUAUGAAGAUAAUAAACUAGU